UAUGCCUGAAGUGCAUGACUUGAUCUUUAUUUUUAAUACUAUGGCCUUGGUACAGGUUGAACUUCAAAAACUAUCAUUAUGUCCUGGUCUUUGUUUUUGCCAUCGAGGAGAUCAACAGGAGCCCCCAGCUGCUCCCCACCCUGUCUCUGGGUUUCCAUGUCUACAAUUCCUUCCACAGUGAUGUCAGCACCUUGGUGAGCACCCUGAGGUGGUUAUCAGGAUGGGGUCAGAUGAUCCCUAAUUACACCUGCCAGGCACAGAACAAGAAUGUGGCUGUCACUGCAGGAACCACACCAGCAUUCUCUGCCCACAUUGGGACACUGUUGGAGCUCUACAAAAUACCACAGAGAACUCAAUAUGGAACACUUUUUCUCUUUUGAUUCAGACAACCUAUGGAGAUUUUGAUCCUGUACUGAAAGGAACUGAAUGUGGAAAUUUUUGGAGUGUCCAUUCAAUGCCUCCCUGGAGUCUCUGCCAAAGGAAACAUUAGACACGACUCUGUCUGGAUCCAGCUACUACAUCUAUGAUGCUGUGGAUGUGGUGGCCUGAGCCCUCCAUGAAAUACUUUUUAUAAAAGCAGAACAGGGGUCCAUAAUGGAUGCAGGCCAGCUCAUGUUUUUCCCU